AACCAAAGGGGGCGAGCGUAAGCAGCUCUCACCGAAGGAGGAGCCUGCGUCCGAUUAGCUAGUUGGUGGGGUAAUGGCCUACCAAGGCGACGAUCGGUAGCCGGCCUGAGAGGGCGAUCGGCCACACUGGAACUGAGACACGGUCCAGACUCCUACGGGAGGCAGCAGUGGGGAAUAUUGCGCAAUGGGCGAAAGCCUGACGCAGCGACGCCGCGUGGGUGAUGAAGGCCUUCGGGUCGUAAAGCCCUGUCUGGUGGAACGAAACGCCUGGCGGCCAAUACCCGCUGGGUUUGACGGUACCACCGAAGGAAGCCCCGGCUAACUACGUGCCAGCAGCCGCGGUAAGACGUAGGGGGCGGGCGUUGUUCGGAUUUACUGGGCGUAAAGCGCGCGUAGGCGGCCAGAUAAGUCGGGUGUGAAAGCCCUCGGCUCAACCGAGGUUCCGCAUCCGAUACUGCUUGGCUGGAGUCUAGGAGAGGAGAGCGGAAUUCCCAGUGUAGCGGUGAAAUGCGUAGAUAUUGGGAGGAACACCCGUGGCGAAGGCGGCUCUCUGGACUAGUACUGACGCUGAGGCGCGAAAGCUAGGGGGGCGAACGGGAUUAGAUACCCCGGUAGUCCUAGCCGUAAACGAUGGGCACUAGGUGUGGGAGGUAUUGACCCCUUCCGCGCCGAAGCUAACGCAUUAAGUGCCCCGCCUGGGGAGUACGGCCGCAAGGCUAAAACUCAAAGGAAUUGACGGGGGCCCGCACAAGCGGUGGAGCAUGUGGUUCAAUUCGACGCAACGCGAAGAACCUUACCAGGGCUUGACAUCCCACGAACCUGCCUGAAAGGGCGGGGUGCCCGCAAGGGAGCGCGG
rnacentral:rRNA from 1 species